GUCAAUGUGGUGGAGUGGUUUAAGCAUUGGAUUACAACUCUGGAGACCAGGGUUCAAAUCCUGGUUUGGCCA